UUAAUUUGAUUUAAUGUUAUUACUAAUUUUAUUGGGUUUAUAUUAAUUAAUGUAAGUAUAUUUUUAAUUUUAUUAAUCUUAGGAAAUAAGUUUAGUUUGUGGUAGUUGAAUAGUAUUGUAAAAGGUUUAAUUUAAAAUUUGUAAAGGAAAUAGUCUGUUGUACCUUGUGUAUCAGGGUUUACUAAAUAAAUUUAAAAUAUUAAGGUUUCUCGAAUUAAGAAGAGUUAAUUUUUUAAAGAUUUUAUUGUGAAAUAAAUAUUUAAAAUAAAAAUUUAGUAAUGAAAUGUUAUUCGGGUUUUAAUAUAUCUGGUUUUUAGAGAAAAAAGUUUAAUUUUUUUUUAAUUGAUUAGGGGGUUUUUUAAUAAUUUUUUAAUGGUUGAAGGAUAUAUAUUUUGGGAUAAGCUAGAAUAUAGAUUAUUAUAAUUCUAUAAUGUUAAUUUUAAUUUUAGGAUUAAAAUUGUUCACAAGUUAAAUGAUGUUAUAAUUUUUAUAAUAUUUAAUAAAAUUUUUAUGGAAUUUAGGUUUUUUAUCUAAAAAUUUUAUUUAAUAAUUAGUUGAAAGAUGUAAUGGUAAAAUUAGUAUAAAAUCUUAUAUUUUAGGAAAUAUUUGAUGGUAAAAUAAAGGAAUUCGGCAAUGGCAUUUUUCACCUGUUUAUUAAAAACUUGUCUUUUUGAUAAUAAUUUAAGGUUGUCCCUGCCCACUGAAAAUUUAAAUGGCCGCAGUAUUUUGACUGUGCAAAGGUAGCAUAAUCAUUAGUUUUUUAAUUGAAAGCUGGAAUGAAAGGGUUAAUGAAAAAAUGGCUGUCUCUAUUUUAUUUGUUUAUAAUUUUAUUUUUAAGUAAGAAAGCUUAAAUUUUAUUAAAAGACGAUAAGACCCUAUAGAGUUUAAUAUUAUAAUUGAUUUAGUUUAUUAGAAUUUUAUUUAUUAAUUUGGUUAUAAUAUUUUGUUGGGGUGAUAAAAAAAUUAAAAUAACUUUUUUUAGUUUAACAUUUAUAUGUGAGUUUUUGAUCCAUUUCUAUGAUUAUAAGAUAAAAUUACCUUAGGGAUAACAGCGUAAUUUUUUUUAAGAGUUCAAAUCGAAAAGAAAGUUUGCGACCUCGAUGUUGGAUUAAAAUUUAUUUUUGAAGCAGCCAUUAAAAAAUUAGGUCUGUUCGACCUUUAAAAUUUUACAUGAUCUGAGUUUAGACCGGCGUGAGCCAGGUUGGUUUCUAUCUUUAAUAAAAAUUAAUGUUUUAGUACGAAAGGAUUAGGCAUUAAACUGAUUAGUUUUAAUUUUAUUAAUA
rnacentral:rRNA from 1 species